rnacentral:rRNA from 1 species
UACCACCCUUUAAUGUUUGAUGUUCUAACGUGGACCCGUAAUCCGGGUUGCGGACAGUGUCUGGUGGGUAGUUUGACUGGGGCGGUCUCCUCCUAAAGAGUAACGGAGGAGCACGAAGGUUGGCUAAUCCUGGUCGGACAUCAGGAGGUUAGUGCAAUGGCAUAAGCCAGCUUGACUGCGAGCGUGACGGCGCGAGCAGGUGCGAAAGCAGGUCAUAGUGAUCCGGUGGUUCUGAAUGGAAGGGCCAUCGCUCAACGGAUAAAAGGUACUCCGGGGAUAACAGGCUGAUACCGCCCAAGAGUUCAUAUCGACGGCGGUGUUUGGCACCUCGAUGUCGGCUCAUCACAUCCUGGGGCUGAAGUAGGUCCCAAGGGUAUGGCUGUUCGCCAUUUAAAGUGGUACGCGAGCUGGGUUUAGAACGUCGUGAGACAGUUCGGUCCCUAUCUGCCGUGGGCGCUGGAGAACUGAGGGGGGCUGCUCCUAGUACGAGAGGACCGGAGUGGACGCAUCACUGGUGUUCGGGUUGUCAUGCCAAUGGCACUGCCCGGUAGCUAAAUGCGGAAGAGAUAAGUGCUGAAAGCAUCUAAGCACGAAACUUGCCCCGAGAUGAGUUCUCCCUGAGACUUAGAGUCUCCUGAAGGAACGUUGAAGACGACGACGUUGAUAGGCCGGGUGUGUAAGCGCAGCGAUGCGUUGAGCUAACCGGUACUAAUGAACCGUGAGGCUUAACCUUACAACGCCGAAG